UGGGGAAUCUUGGACAAUGGGCGCAAGCCUGAUCCAGCCAUGCCGCGUGAGUGAAGAAGGCCUUAGGGUUGUAAAACUCUUUCGCCGGAGAAGAUAAUGACGGUAUCCGGAGAAGAAGCCCCGGCUAACUUCGUGCCAGCAGCCGCGGUAAUACGAAGGGGGCUAGCGUUGUUCGGAAUUACUGGGCGUAAAGCGCACGUAGGCGGGUUUGUAAGUAGGGGGUGAAAUCCCAGGGCUCAACCCUGGAACUGCCUUCUAAACUGCAAGCCUGGAGGUCAGGAGAGGCGAGUGGAAUACCGAGUGUAGAGGUGAAAUUCGUAGAUAUUCGGUGGAACACCAGUGGCGAAGGCGACUCGCUGGACUGAUACUGACGCUGAGGUGCGAAAGCGUGGGGAGCAAACAGGAUUAGAUACCCCAGUAGUCCCUGAGCGGGCUGGCAAGGCGCAU
rnacentral:rRNA from 1 species